rnacentral:rRNA from 1 species
GAGAACCGGGGCUUCGGCCCCGGGGACAGCGGCGAACGGGUGAGUAACACUUGGGUAAUCCACCCUCGGCACCGGGAUAGCCCGGGGAAACCCGGAUUAAUACCGGAUGGCCCUUCCGCCCCUCGGGGCGGUCGGAAAAGGUAGCUUCGGCCUCCGGCCGAGGACGAGCCCGCGGCGGAUUAGCUUGUUGGUGGGGUAACGGCCCACCAAGGCUCCGAUCCGUAGCUGGUCUGAUAGGACUAUCAGCCCCAUUGGGACUGAUACUCGGCCCAUACUCCUACGGGAGGCAGCAGUGGGGAAUCUUGCCCAUUGGGCGCAAGCCUGAGGCAGCGACGCCGCGUGAGGGAAGAAGGCCUUCNGGUUGUAAACCUCUUUCAGGAGGGACGAAGCCACUCGGGUUAAUAGCCCAUAGGGUGACGGUACCUCCGGAAGAAGCCCCGGCUAACUACUUGCCAGCAGCCGCGGUAAUACUUAGGGUGCAAGCGUUGUCCGGAUUUACUGGGCGUAAAGAGCGUGUANGCGGCCGUGCAUGUCUGUUGUGAAAACUGGAGGCUUNUCCUCCAGACUUCGACAGAUACCGUGCGGCUAGAUUCCGGAAGAGGAGAGUUGAAUUCCUGGUGUACCGGUAAAAUGCUCAGAUAUCAGGGAANAUCACCAUGGGCGAAUGCAGCUCUCUUUGGACGGUACUUGACUCUGUCAUNCNAAUUCGUGCGUUNUCAACUUGUAUUAGAUCCCCUGGUAGUCCGCGCCUUAAACUAUGGGUGUUAGGUGUUGUUAUGUGUCUAUUCCUUCCGUGCCCCAUCUAACGUUUA